CUCCGGGGGUGGCAGGCGGCCGGGAAGAGCGCAAAGUGCGGGAAGCGGAGGCCCUACAGCAUGUGUCCUGGGAGGCCAAGUCCUGCUGGACACCUCAGCAUCUCAGCAGGAUAGAAGGCAAAAUGUGGUAGCAACAGAGGUAUGGCAAGACUUGAAGACUGAGUUAAAAGCAAGUGGGAGAAAACCAGACACAUUGUAAGUUGUAAAACUUCCUUAUUUGAUGUGCAUAUUUCUCAUCAUGACAGUUUUUCUAGCUACUUUCUACCUGUCAUUAACCAUCUCUAACCACCUUUUUUUCUGAAGAAGUCCACACUGAUGAUAUAAAGUCGUGGACAUUGACUACUAUGCUUUGGCUAUUUAGGUUCCAGGGGUGAGUGAGAUGCUCAACAGCAGAAAA